rnacentral:rRNA from 1 species
ACGAACGCUGGCGGCGUGCCUAACACAUGCAAGUCGAGCGGAGACAGUGAGUAGCUUGCUAUGAGCUGUUUUAGCGGCGGACGGGUGAGUAACGCGUGAGCAACCUUUCCCAGACAGGGGAAUAACACACCGAAAGGUGUACUAAUACCGCAUAAGACCACGGAAUCACAUGGUUCUGAGGUAAAAGAUUUAUCGGUUUGGGGUGGGCUCGCGUCCGAUUAGGUAGUUGGUGAGGUAACGGCCCACCAAGCCGACGAUCGGUAGCCGACCUGAGAGGGUGAUCGGCCACAUUGGGACUGAGACACGGCCCAAACUCCUACGGGAGGCAGCAGUGGGGAAUAUUGGGCAAUGGAGGAAACUCUGACCCAGCAAUGCCGCGUGGAGGAAGAAGGUUUUCGGAUCGUAAACUCCUGUCCUUGGAGACGAGUAGAAGACGGUAUCCAAGGAGGAAGCCCCGGCUAACUACGUGCCAGCAGCCGCGGUAAUACGUAGGGGGCAAGCGUUGUCCGGAAUAAUUGGGCGUAAAGGGCGCGUAGGCGGCUCGGUAAGUCUGGAGUGAAAGUCCUGCUUUUAAGGUGGGAAUUGCUUUGGAUACUGUCGGGCUUGAGUGCAGGAGAGGUUAGUGGAAUUCCCAGUGUAGCGGUGAAAUGCGUAGAGAUUGGGAGGAACACCAGUGGCGAAGGCGACUAACUGGACUGUAACUGACGCUGAGGCGCGAAAGUGUGGGGAGCAAACAGGAUUAGAUACCCUGGUAGUCCACACUGUAAACGAUGAAUGCUAGGUGUAGGGGGUAUCGACCCCUUCUGUGCCGCAGUCAACACAAUAAGCAUUCCGCCUGGGGAGUACGGCCGCAAGGUUGAAACUCAAAGGAAUUGACGGGGGCCCGCACAAGCAGCGGAGCAUGUGGUUUAAUUCGACGCAACGCGAAGAACCUUACCAGGUCUUGACAUCCACUUAAACUUACAGAGAUGUAAGGUGUGCUUGCACAAAGUGAGACAGGUGGUGCAUGGUUGUCGUCAGCUCGUGUCGUGAGAUGUUGGGUUAAGUCCCGCAACGAGCGCAACCCUUAUGGUCAGUUACUACGAAAGAGGACUCUGGCCAGACUGCCGUUGACAAAACGGAGGAAGGUGGGGACGACGUCAAAUCAUCAUGCCCCUUAUGAGCAGGGCUACACACGUGCUACAAUGGCGUAAACAAAGGGAAGCGAACCCGCGAGGGUGGGCAAAUCCCAAAAAUAACGUCCCAGUUCGGACUGUAGUCUGCAACCCGACUACACGAAGCUGGAAUCGCUAGUAAUCGCGGAUCAGAAUGCCGCGGUGAAUACGUUCCCGGGCCUUGUACACACCGCCCGUCACACCAUGGGAGUUGGGAGCACCCGAAGUCGGUGAGAUAACCGCAAGGGAUCAGCCGCCGAAGGUGAGACCGAUGACUGGGGUG